GCUGUGGGUAGGAGUGAAAGGCUAAUCAAACCCCGUGAUAGCUGGUUCUCUUCGAAAUGUAUUUAGGUACAGCGUCAUGUGUUGACCUAUGGGGGUAGAGCACUGACUGAGCUAGGGGGCAUACCCGCUUACCAAACUCAAUCAAACUCCGAAUACCAUAGGGUAGAACAUGGCAGUGAGACAGUGGGGGAUAAGCUUCAUUGUCGAAAGGGAAAGAACCCGGAUCAGCAGCUAAGGUGCCAAAAUACCGCUCAGUGGAAAGGAAGUGGGAUUUCAUAGACAGUGAGGAUGUUGGCUUAGAGGCAGCCACCAUUUAAACAAUGCGUAAUAGCUGACUCAUCGAGAGAUCCUGCGCCGAAAAUAAUUGGCGAUAAGCGGUAUACCGAAGCUCUGGGUGUCUAGUUUUGACUAGGCGCGGUAGAAGAGCAUUGUUAGGACAUUGAAGCAGAAGGGCGACCGACUGUGGAGCCCUAACAAGAGAGAAUGCAGACAUGAGUAACGAUAAGACGGGUGAAAUCCCCGUCCGCCGUAAACCCAAGGAUUCCUGGGCAAUGCUAAUCAUCCCAGGGUUAGUCGGGACCUAAGCCGAGGCCGAAGGGCGUAGGCGAUGGAAAGCAGGUUAAUAUUCCUGCACGUCCGAAACUUAACCCAGAAGGACGCGUUCUUGGAGAGAUAAUGCCGGUUGAAAGUGGCAGAGGGGAAACUUCGGUGGAACCAACCUUCUCGAAAAGAGCGCCAAGAAAAGUUCUGGUGUAUGCUAAGGACCCCGUACCGUAAACCGACACAGGUGGGAGAGUAGAAUAUACUAAGGCGCAAGAGUGAAACCUCGUUAAGGAACUCGGCAAUCUAGCCCCGUAACUUAGGGAUAAGGGGUCCCUGCUUAGGCAGGGCGCAGUGAAAGGGGCCAACCGACUGUUUAGCAAAAACACAGCAUUCUGCUAAGACGAAAGUCGACGUAUAGGAUGUGACACGUGACCAAUGCCAAAAGAUUAAGGUAAGGUGUUAGGCGUAAGCCGAAGCUCUGAACCCAAGUCCUGGUGAAUGUCGGCCGUAACUAUAACGGUCCUAAGGUAGCGAAAUUCCUUGUCGGGUAAGUUCCGACCUGCACGAAUCGUGCAACGAGUUGGCCGCUGUCUCAACGAGGAGCUCAGUGAAGUUGUAGCGCCGGUGAAGAUGCCGGCUACCCGCAGAAGGACGGAAAGACCCUUUGCACCUUAACUGUACGCAGUCACUGGUUCUUUGAUUACGAUGCUCAGCAUAAGUGGGAGACGUUGAAGUGCGCCUUUAGGGGCGUGCAGAGUCGCCAGUGAGAUACCACCCUUUGUAAUUGAGGGAUCUAACAGCAGGCCUUGAAACAGGAUGCUGGACCAUGGCUGCCGGUCAGUUUUACUGGGGCGGUAUCCUCCUAAAGAGUAACGGAGGAGCG
rnacentral:rRNA from 1 species